CGGAAUAUAGUUCAGUGGUAGAACAACUAUUUUAUUUAGCUGAUGCAAAUAGUGUGCCGGGGUUCGAAUCCUUGUAUUCCGA
rnacentral:tRNA from 1 species